rnacentral:rRNA from 1 species
CAGUCGCCACGGUAAUACGAAGGGGGCUAGCGUUGUUCGGAUUUACUGGGCGUAAAGGGCGCGUAGGCGGUCUGAUAAGUCAGGGGUGAAAUCCCAAGGCUCAACCUUGGAACUGCCUUUGAUACUGUUUGUCUUGAGUUCGAGAGAGGUAAGUGGAACUGCGAGUGUAGAGGUGAAAUUCGUAGAUAUUCGCAAGAACACCAGUGGCGAAGGCGGCUUACUGGCUCGAAACUGACGCUGAGGCGCGAAAGCGUGGGGAGCAAACAGGAUUAGAUACCCCGGUAGUCCCUGUCUCUUAUAA